UUAAUACUCCCUCCGUUCCAUAAUUCUUGUCGAAAUAUUACAUGCAUCUAGAUGCCUUUUAGUAAUAGAUACAUCCAUUUUUUGGCAAAUUUGAGACAAGAAUUAUAGAACGGAGAGAGUAGAAC
rfam:Brachypodium distachyon strain Bd21 chromosome 3, whole genome shotgun sequence.